UACGUAGGGUGCGAGCGUUGUCCGGAAUUAUUGGGCGUAAAGGGCUCGUAGGCGGUUUGUCGCGUCGGGAGUGAAAACCUUGGGCUUAACUCAGGGCUUGCUUUCGAUACGGGCAGACUAGAGGUAUGCAGGGGAGAACGGAAUUCCUGGUGUAGCGGUGAAAUGCGCAGAUAUCAGGAGGAACACCGGUGGCGAAGGCGGUUCUCUGGGCAUGAUCUGGCGCUGAGGAGCGAAAGUGUGGGGAGCGAACAGG
rnacentral:rRNA from 1 species